rnacentral:misc_RNA from 1 species
UACGAAGGGAGCAAGCGUUGUUCGGAAUUACUGGGCGUAAAGGGCGUGUAGGCGGACUGUCCAGUCAGGGGUGAAAUCCCGGGGCUCAACCUCGGAACAGCCUUUGAUACUGACAGUCUAGAGUCUGCGAGAGGAUAGUGGAAUACCCAGUGUAGAGGUGAAAUUCGUAGAUAUUGGGUAGAACACCAGUGGCGAAGGCGACUAUCUGGAGCAGUACUGACGCUGAGGCGCGAAAGCGUGGGGAGCAAACAGG